GCGUCGAUAGUGCAAUGGUUAGCAUAAGCUCCCGGAAAGAGUGAGAUCUGGGUUCGUUCCCGGCUGAAGCA